AUGUCCCUUAACACAUGCAUGGGCUGUCCCAUUGUUUGUCAGGUGACAUCCCGCAUACUUUGGCUCCUGCUGCGUCAGUACCUGGGCUGUGGACUGAGGUGUCUGCGGUUGCGUGGUUUGCUGCUGUCGGCCAGAGGCGGCACCUUUCUCUCCGAGUCGUGGCUCAAAGCCUUGUCCACAAAGUGCCCUCGCCUCAGCAAGCUGUACCUCCUGCACGCGGACUUACGGAGCCUUCCCAGUUGCCAGCUGCUGCCGGCGUCUCUGCAGGUGCUGGAGCUGCGUGGCUGCGAGCUGCCCCGUGAAUUUUUCAACCAGACUCUGCCUCCACCGGCCCGCUCCCGCGAAAGAGCAGAAGCCACAUCCAGUGGCGGCGCUCAACAGCAAGGGAGGCAGCGGAAAGGGAAGGCGCUCGGCUCUCCGUCCGGCGUCGGUAUUGGGAGGUUAGUCCUUAAUAACGUGCCGUCCUUCACGGACCAGCAUCUGCAGAGUCUGACGUCGUGGGAGCGGCUCAGCCGCUUGGAGCUGCGCGACACCUUUCGCGUGACUGCUAACGGGCUCAGGAGCUGUGCUGCCAAGAGCGGCGUCUGUGAGGUGGAAGGCCUUUCCAGGCUCAAGUUUCUGGAGAUCGGCAUCACUGGGCGGCAAGGUUACCAGCUACAGAUGGCCUCCCUCGGGCUGGGCGCCGGAUGGCUGGGACUGGAGGAACUGAGCCUGGGGGGUAAAGAGGUGGGGCCGGGCCUGCUCUGUGCCAGCCGCCUGAAGGACCUGAAGUGUUUGUGCCUGUGGGCCUGCACGCUCAGCGAGAUGCAGGUAGUGCGGAGCUGCAGGAUGCUCCGCGGGCUCAGCCGGAUGGAGUUUUUAGAUGUGACCUUCCAGCCUAAGCAGGGCCCACCAGUCCUGGAGGGGGAGGGGGGAGGUGGUGGGGGAGGUGGAGAAGAGCCGAAUAAUGAAGAAGCUGUAGUUGCCGCAAACAGCAACGAUGAGAACAACACAGUAGACCUGAACGAUCCCAUUCCGAGUUUGCGUCGCUCGCUGGCCGUCCUGCUGCCGUCCUGCACUUUAGUUUUCACCAAUUGCUCCGUUCAGACGAGUGCAGACUAA
ensembl:lncRNA